rnacentral:tRNA from 1 species
GAGGGUAUAGCUCAUGUGGUAGAGAGCAUGCCUAGCAUGCAUGAGGUCCUAGGUUCAAUCCUCAGUACCUCCA